GUGGCGGAUGGAGUUCUGCCAGCGCUGCUGGUUCUGCCGGUGUUCAUGGAGUUCAUGGAGCCCAGGCCUGAGUUCAUGUUGCUGACCGGGACGGAGGAGUAGGCCUGGAGUGGAGACAGCGAGUGAAGAAGCCCCGGAGGGCGGGGGGGAAAAUCCUAGCGCGGCAGGCAUGAAAGAUAAACGCUCACAGAAAAUAUGACCCCAGGAAGAUGUGUAAUCGCCUUACACGCCAGGCUCAGGGGCUGGCUUCCAGGGCCCCCUCAUCGCCUCCUCCAUCCACGCCAGGCGGUAUCCCAAGUCUCCACCCCAACCAGCCUCGGCAAAGCGCCCUUUGGGGGGAAAUCGUUGAUAGAGCAAAUCACCUAUGGACAUGGGACCCCCUGAAUCAUCUGUUUCCCAACAAGUGGCUUUAUUGUCCUAGGGGUUUUUGCCUAUGGUGACUUUUUGUUGUUUAUUGUAUUUAGAAGUAGUGUUUUCUACCUGCUUGUAGCAACUGUAAUGUUAAAAGGGAAGCAAACUCAGAGUUAAAUAAGUUUUGGAAAAAUAAAACUAAAAGUAGAUCCAUAACAGAAAGGGCUGGGAGGGGGUGCUAUAAUAAUCUCAAAGUGCUAUAUGCAUUUUAUUUUAACAUGACUUUACAUGUACACCUUUGCAAGCUAUUUAGAAACUCGCAUUAAUUUUGUCACCACUUUACAGUCCCCUGUUUGAAAAAUUUGGUGACACAGUUUGUCAAAAUAAAUCUUUUUUUUUUUUCACAUGCUGAUGUUGCUGCCGAUGAUUUCAACGCCUGGCUUUGAGAUUCCGUGAGUAGUCUUGAAUAAUUUAAAAUUCGAAAAUCAAAUUCUACUUAUUUUCUCUUAAUGCUAUUGUAUUUCCUAAUUCUCAGCUUUAACAUGUAAGAAAGUACUUUCGCUAGGGGUCUUAAUUGAAUGGUGGGGUCGAGAUGACUGCGUCAGAAUUAAAUCUCUGGAAGACCUCUGAGCUCCUUUUAAAAUCAUCAACAAGCGAAAAUCCUUAUCAAUAGCGAUGUGGGAAUGCAUUAGGUACAGUAUUUUAAACAUACAAAACCUAGGCAUAUUAAAAAGCACUCCUCUGGUAAUUUAAUAAGGAAUAAUGAUGUCCUUAAGUUUAUUUUAAUCAGCAAGUAUGACUCAAUUUGAAAAUAUGAG
rnacentral:lncRNA from 1 species